CCAGCGAACUUGGCAGAGAUGCCUUGGUGCCUUCGGGAACGCUGAGACAGGUGCUGCAUGGCUGUCGUCAGCUCGUGUUGUGAAAUGUUGGGUUAAGUCCCGCAACGAGCGCAACCCUUAUCCUUUGCUGCCAGCGAUUCGGUCGGGAACUCAAAGGAGACUGCCGGUGAUAAACCGGAGGAAGGUGGGGAUGACGUCAAGUCAUCAUGGCCCUUACGAGUAGGGCUACACACGUGCUACAAUGGCGCAUACAAAGAGAAGCGACCUCGCGAGAGCAAGCGGACCUCAUAAAGUGCGUCGUAGUCCGGAUCGGAGUCUGCAACUCGACUCCGUGAAGUCGGAAUCGCUAGUAAUCGUGGAUCAGAAUGCCACGGUGAAUACGUUCCCGGGCCUUGUACACACCGCCCGUCACACCAUGGGAGUGGGUUGCAAAAGAAGUAGGUAGCUUAACCUUCGGGAGGGCGCUUACCACUUUGUGAUUCAUGACUGGGGUGAAGUCGUAACAAGGUAAGCGUAGCGAG
rnacentral:rRNA from 1 species